AGAGUUUGAUCCUGGCUCAGGACGAACGCUGACGGUGUGCUUUAGGCAUGCAAGUCGAACGAGAAAGCCCUUCGGGGUGAGUAAAGUGGCGAACGGGUGAGUAACACGUGGGCAGCCUGCCCCUCGCAGGGGAACAACCGGAGGAAACUCCGGCUAAUACCCCGUAAGCUUUCAGGGUCGCAUGGCCUUGAAAGGAAAGGUAGCUUCGGCCAUCCGGCGAGGGAUGGGCCCGCGGUGCAUUAGCUAGUUGGUGGGGUAAAGGCCCACCAAGGCGACGAUGCGUAGCUGGUCUGAGAGGAUGAUCAGCCACACUGGGACUGAGACACGGCCCAGACUCCUACGGGAGGCAGCAGCCAGGAAUCUUGGGCAAUGGGCGAAAGCCUGACCCAGCAACACCGUGUGGGCGAUGAAGGCCUUCGGGUCGUAAAGCCCUGUUGAUAGGGACGAAGGGCGAAGGGUUAAUAGCCCCUAGCCUGACGGUACCUUUCGAGGAAGCCCCGGCUAACUACGUGCCAGCAGCCGCGGUAAUACGUAGGGGGCGAGCGUUGUCCGGAAUUAUUGGGCGUAAAGAGCGUGUAGGCGGUUCGGUAAGUCUGCUGUGAAAUCCUGGGGCUCAACCCUGGGCGUGCAGCGGAUACUGCCGGGCUAGAGGGUGGUAGAGGCGAGUGGAAUUCCGAGUGUAGCGGUGAAAUGCGCAGAUAUUCGGAGGAACACCAGUAGCGAAGGCGGCUCGCUGGGCCACACCUGACGCUGAGACGCGAAAGCGUGGGGAGCGAACAGGAUUAGAUACCCCGGUAGUCC
rnacentral:rRNA from 1 species